rnacentral:rRNA from 1 species
AGAGUUUGAUCCUGGCUCAGAUUGAACGCUGGCGGCAGGCCUAACACAUGCAAGUCGAGCGGUAACAGAAAUUAGCUUGCUAAUUUGCUGACGAGCGGCGGACGGGUGAGUAAUGCCUGGGAAUAUGCCUUAGUGUGGGGGAUAACUAUUGGAAACGAUAGCUAAUACCGCAUAACGUCUUCGGACCAAAGAGGGGGAUCUUCGGACCUCUCGCGCUAAGAUUAGCCCAGGUGAGAUUAGCUAGUUGGUGAGGUAAGAGCUCACCAAGGCGACGAUCUCUAGCUGGUCUGAGAGGAUGAUCAGCCACACUGGAACUGAGACACGGUCCAGACUCCUACGGGAGGCAGCAGUGGGGAAUAUUGCACAAUGGGCGAAAGCCUGAUGCAGCCAUGCCGCGUGUAUGAAGAAGGCCUUCGGGUUGUAAAGUACUUUCAGUAGGGAGGAAGGUGUUGUCGUUAAUAGCGGCAGCAUUUGACGUUACCUACAGAAGAAGCACCGGCUAACUCCGUGCCAGCAGCCCGCGGUAAU